CAUACACAUACACACACACACACACACACACACACACACACACACACACACACGAAUUGGCUCAAUUGCUAAGAGCAACUAUUGCAGAGGACCUGGGUCCCAUUUCCUGUAUCCACCCACAAGGUGGCUCACAUUCUUCUGUAAUUCCCAUCCCAGGGGAUCUGAUGCCCUCUUCUGACCUCUCUAGGCACCAGGGAUGCACAUGGUGCACAAAACCCUCAUAUCCACAAAAUGAUGAAAAGCAAAAUACUGUUUCACUUUUUACUUUAUCCUCUGUAGAGCCUUCUAGAAAAGCCUGAGACGUUACCUCCUUUGGUUUCUUUGGUGCUGAUUUGGAAAGUGUGAAGGUCACAUACACUGUAAACUAAUGUCAGGUCUCUAUACCCAGAGUCAGGAGGAACUUCAGGUCUUUCCCACUUUCCUGGCUUUAUAAUUGACAAACUUAAACACUUGUUCCUUUACUCAAAUUUGUAUUUAAUUAAAGAAGCAACUCCCUAAUUGUCAAGAGUAUUAUUAAUACAUGGUGAAACCAAAGGUGCCGAGGGGGUGCAUGUCAGGGCGUUUGUUCCCCAGGAGAGCGACUCUGUCCAGUGACUUACAUAUUUCUAACACCCACUCCAGAAGUGAAGUCCAUUGGUUGCUGAUUCUUGAACCACUAUUAGGAAUCAGAGUAUCCUGUAGCUAAGUCAUGCUGACUCAUGAAAAAACUCUUUAUUUUACUAAAAGAAGAGUGUUAUAAAAGAAAAUAUGUUCAUUACCACUAAUGGUCUUUUCUUCUAUGGCAAGAUCAUCACAAUGGCGCCCGUAAGGAGACGCUCCCUGUAAUUGGGGUCAGACUCGUCGGCAAUUCCGUGUUGGUGUCUCGCCCAACACUGCACCAGCAGCACUUUCCGUGUCGUUCAUGUUUCCCACAAACAUCAUCUUUAAUGAGGACGCAUAUCAUCCUUUACUUAACCCCAUCCUCUCUUGGGAUAUUUUGGUCAUUUCUACGUGUAGAAGAUCAUUCUGUUCUAACGCUCUGGUGAAAAGGCCGGACUAUAAAUCUUUAUCUUCCCUUGAGAAUACGCACUUUACACCUUUGGGUUCCCGUAUUAUUUUCCCUUCUAUUUUUUCCAAGAGUGUAUUCUAUGCCUGGUGCUGCCAUGUGACUUUUCCUAACACAUCAUCGGGUAUGCCAUGUGAUCUCAUGCUCACUGUGAUUUUCUCGGCUCCUACUGGGAGCGGGGGAGGGCCUGGGAGGAGGAGGAGGGCCCUGCAAAGACGUUCAUCCUGGGCUCUCGGCUCUUGAUAGCCUUGUUACUGUUGACUUCUUUGUUGCCAUGGAAGCUCCUCGGCUUCUCAGGUGCUUUCUCACUCCUCCAGCACGCUGUUUUCAGCUGUGCCUCUGUUUCUUCUUGCCUGGCUACCCUGCCUGAUGCAAAAUGAAAGCUUUUUAACAUAAACUUGGGCAUGUCAGUUAUGUCUCCCAAAAUACACCUUUCCAGUUGUGCUAUAUAUGUUUCUAAUCGAUUUCCUCACCCUUUUGGAUUUUCUGCACAUGCUAAAUUGUCAUGCACGCAUGUGCAUGCAUGCAUCUCUCUCUCUCUGUGUUUGUAAACACAUCAUGAUUAAAGAAAAUAUUCACUUUUUAUGC
rnacentral:lncRNA from 1 species